UCUGCCUCUAAGCGCGCACGGCAGGGGGCAGCAGCCCUGGUGACCUGCCGGCAGCGGCCUCACCGGAGGCCGGCGGCCCGCCCAUACGGGCGCCCCUACUCCUCCUUUACUUUGUGCCCCCGAGCCCCCAAGAACACCCCUCUCUCCCUGCUGGGAGUCGCUCCGCCAUGGCCGCGGCGGCGAGCCCGCGUUCCGGCGAGACUACACCCGAAUCGGCCAACCAAACUCACCACCACUCUCUGCACACCUCAAUCUCGCCCAUAGACCUCCCAAACCUAGCCCCACACCACGGGAAUCCCUUCUUCUCCGGCGACCUCACCUUACUGGACGGUGGUGACCCAAGGUUGAAGACGACGGCGAGCUGGCGGCGAUGGUCGAUGGAAAGGCUAGGAACUCUCAAAAUCGAUCGAGAGAGGGCUGGUGGUGCUGUGUAUGCGAGGAAUCGAACCGAAAUCGAGCGAGGACGACGAAUUUCAGUGAAGAUCAGAGAGCUCGAGUUGGGGGAAAAGUGAGCGGGAGGAUGACGAUGAGCUGCACUGAGCAGUAUUUAUUCAAAUUCUUACCGCCUUCCGGUCCUCCACCUCAUGCUUGCAUGCUAGCUGCUGGCACACACCCGAAUCGACGCGUGGCCUUGGUUCAAAUCGUUGCCGCCAGGUGCACUGAACCUGAUGAACACGAGCUCGGCUCUGUCUCUGUUCCUCUGUCUUAAUUCUCUCCUCUCUUCUCUGAACUCGCGACUUCAGGCCCUUGUAUCUCCAAAAACCAAUAAAGAACUUCAAAAUCGUCCAAUACCAAACUUGUAGAAGGCACUUCUUCAAAUUCAGCCUCUAACAUAGCUGAAAACUGCUCUGAAGCUGACUGUGUAUAUUGGUGUCAGACUGAACUUCUCUGUACCUGAAACUUGCAAUGCAUUUUCCUCCAAAUUCUCCCACUAAACUUAAAAAUAUCCAAUAAGCAAAGUUGUAGCUUUUAUAAUUAUCUACAACUUUUGUUUCAGGCGCUCUUGCUGAUUUGUCCUCUAAUCUGUUCAAAAAUAGCUCUGCAUCUUGAUGCAUAUAUCAAACGUAAUCUUAAUUCAGAGUUUCAGUCUC